UCCGGGGUAGCUCAGCGGUAGAGCAGAUGGCUGUUAACCAUUUGGUCGUGGGUUCGAUCCCCACCCCCGGAG
rnacentral:tRNA from 1 species